rnacentral:rRNA from 1 species
AUACAUGGUGGCGAGUGGCGCACGGGUGCGUAACACGUAUGUAACCUACCUCUAACAGUGGCAUAACAAUGAGAAAUUAUUGCUAAUUCCGCAUGUGGUUAAUUUGAGGCAUCUUAGAUUAACUAAAGAUUUAUCGGUUAGAGCUGGGCAUGCGUCCCAUUAGCUAGUUGGUGAGGUAACGGCUCACCAAGGCCUCGAUGGGUAGGGGCUCUGAGAGGAUUGUCCCCCACACUGGUACUGAGACACGGACCAGACUCCUACGGGAGGCAGCAGUAAGGAAUAUUGGGCAAUGGACGCAAGUCUGACCCAGCCAUGCCGCGUGAAGGAAGACGGCCCUAUGGGUUGUAAACUUCUUUUCUCAGGGGGUAAACUCCGGAACGUGUUCCGGACUGAAAGUACCUGAGGAAUAAGCAUCGGCUAACUCCGUGCCAGCAGCCGCGGUAAUACGGAGGAUGCGAGCGUUAAUCGGAAUUACUGGGCGUAAAGCGCACGCAGGCGGUCUGUCAAGUCGGAUGUGAAAUCCCCGGGCUCAACCUGGGAACUGCAUCCGAAACUGGCAGGCUAGAGUCUUGUAGAGGGGGGUAGAAUUCCAGGUGUAGCGGUGAAAUGCGUAGAGAUCUGGAGGAAUACCGGUGGCGAAGGCGGCCCCCUGGACAAAGACUGACGCUCAGGUGCGAAAGCGUGGGGAGCAAACAGGAUUAGAUACCCUGGUAGUCCACGCCGUAAACGAUGUCGACUUGGAGGUUGUGCCCUUGAGGCGUGGCUUCCGGAGCUAACGCGUUAAGUCGACCGCCUGGGGAGUACGGCCGCAAGGUUAAAACUCAAAUGAAUUGACGGGGGCCCGCACAAGCGGUGGAGCAUGUGGUUUAAUUCGAUGCAACGCGAAGAACCUUACCUACUCUUGACAUCCAGAGAACUUAGCAGAGAUGCUUUGGUGCCUUCGGGAACUCUGAGACAGGUGCUGCAUGGCUGUCGUCAGCUCGUGUUGUGAAAUGUUGGG